UUUGAGGACAGCCCUGCACUACUACAACCAGAGGAACCAGAGAAGCAGUGAGCCAAGGCUGAGGACUAGAAUUACCCUGAGAACUUGUGGACAGCCCUGCAGUACUACAACCAGAGCAAGGGCGGUGGCCGCUCCCUUUCACUUUGCACUGGAGUAAUAGGACCUAUGUGCCCUGUCUGAGGAAAACCUGAAAGUAUGGACCGCGAUGAACACGGCUGGACUGAUUACCCGACACAAGUGGGAGCAGGCUGGUGCUGCAGAACUUUACAAGGCCUACCUGGAGGGCUAGCUCCUGGGGUGGAUGAGCACUUACAGGGAGCACUGGAAGGAGAAGCUGCUGUGCACAGGUUCAGAUCCAGCACGUCGAGUCAGUCCACCCCAACAUCUAGUCCAUCUGUGAGCUGCCAGGUCAGGGGGAGGAGCCAUGGCUGCAGAACCAGAUCCAGGAGCAGAUCCUGAAGCAUGGCUGUGACUGAAGCUGCCUCCCCCCUGCAGCCUGCAGUGCUGGAGCCCAAGAUAGUCAUGGAGGCUCCUUGAGGAUAUUUCUCCCUUCAGGCUGAGACUUCUUUGGUCUUUUUCCAGUCGUAGACCUUGGGAGACUGCAGUCAUUUUGGUUGUGACAGGAGCGUGGGGAUCUGCAGCCCUCUGUU
rnacentral:lncRNA from 14 species